GUUUGUACCUUAGUUUGUUAUGAAAACAUGCAUAUUUGCAGCCUGAGUCAGAGCUGGGCUCCUCAGCUGAAGAUCAGCUUUCUGCAUUGACUUCUCUUCCAAUCCCACCAGCUGGGCAUGGUGCUGUUAAAAACAUCCUUGGCUACAGGAGGUUCUCAUGAGUGCCCAAUGGCAACAGGUGUUCUCCAGCCUGCUAAGGAGGUUUUAAAUGGGAGAAAAAAUGCAACUUAGUUACAUAUGUUCCUCAAUGGGAGGAAGCUGACCUGUGGAGGAGAUGACUCCAGUACUGAUAGCACCGUCUUCUCAGCAUAACUUAAUGUAGCAAACUCCUGCAAAUGUCAGGAGGCGGUUGUACAAGGCAGGAUGCCACUUACUUACCUGCCUGAGUCAGCUGCGUGGAGAUGAGUCGAACAGCAAAGUGCACUGCCUUCCUUCCCUGCAAUACUGCUACAUGCAAAUUGUGCAUUCAAGGGAAAUAAGAGAAAUGCGACCUGCUGACUGAUUCCUCAACCUGCACUGUGGGUCAUGUUGGACCUUCCUGGUGACUUCUCAGUGUCUCUCUCGUCUUCCUCAGCCUGGAGACAGCUUCAAACAUUCAGUCCAUUCAGGAGCUAAUAUCAAGGGAGCAAGGUUUUUCAUCUAUGGGAGAUGCAAACCUUUCACCCACAUCCUGCAGGUGAUGGGCACCCGGAAUAAGGUGGGUGAUUUUCUUUCAAGGUCUAUGUUUGCAGAUUUUCUCCUGCAAUCUAACUUUCAGCUGAAUCUUCUUUGACAAGCAGAACAAGUUUUUGUCACUAAUCUCACUGUGAGAUUAUCACAUUUUUGUGAUGAAAGGGUGGAGUGUGGGACCAGGUAUAUUCUAAGGGUUUAGAGAAGUCUGGUUUAUUUUUCUCAGGGAUAUUUUGCUCUAAAUCAAGAGUGCCAGGCUGGAUCCUUGUGUUUUCCUGAGAAGAGCCACAAAUUAUAUUUAUUCCUGUAAGGAGAAAGAACAUCUUUCCUGACUACUGCAAGAAAUUAUCUUACUUUCUACAGGGUAAAAUGUGACUUCUUUGGCUACAAUAUGAACCCUACUGAAUGUUGGUCAAUGUGGUAGAUACCAUUUUCACUGACUGUUAUUUUGAGAAAAAACAGAUCUUUAUCUAUUAUUUAUAAGGAGUAGCAGAUGUAUCAUGACUAAGAACAAUGACUAGAGUUCUAAUUCGGGAAUUUCUUAUCUUGCAAAAAACUCAUGCAUGUAUUUUUUUUUAAAACCAUGGUUCAGUUAAAACCAUGAUGAGCAGAAGAUUAAAGCUCUGUCAGAUGAAAAGAAACGCUAUGCUAUUUCAACUCUCUCAGUUUUCAAAGGAGAAUGAAAUAUGCAGUAAUUCACACAGACAGCAUAAAUAUUGAAUAACCAUUGCAAUGGAUUGUGUUAAUAGAUAUACAAGAUGAAUAACAACAUAUUUGAUUUAGACCUUUUCUGAUGGUGCUAGUGGAUUGCAAGGAUUAGCCUGUCUUCUGCAGUACUAUCUAUUCAAUAACUAUAAUUCAAACUUCCCUUCAUUUUCUCCCUUCCCUCCUUCCUUUUCCCUUUCCAGGAAAAUAGAGUAGUUAUGAUAAAAAAAAAUGCACUUAUGUCAUUUUGUUUCUCUGGAGUCAGAUCUUGAUUGUAGCCAUCUAACUUCAUUCAUGUGAAUAUCCCCACUGAUUAAGGUGAGAAAGCUUGUCACAUUCUUAAAGCUUUUGGGGACUUGAAGGCAUGAUGGGUGAAACUUAAUCCUCCACCUCACUCAAAAACCUGUACACCUACUUGGCCUGAUGUUACAUGAUGUAAUUUGGGCAUAAAUCUAGUACAAGGACUCUUGAAGCAAAAAAAUGAAGCCAGAGUCUUUUACAAAAAACUCCUAUUACUAGCUGACUAGCUUUAGAUCAGAGCUCCAAAAUGCUGCAGAUAUGGCCCAUUUCCUUCUUCACUGGCAAAAGUUGUACAUGGUUGGGCCACCAAAGCCCUUCAUUCUGUGUUACACUGCUGAUUGCCUGAGGAGUGCUGCAGAGUUUCCGUGUCCCUAACCCUGACACUUGGUGGCUCAUGGCUCCUCUUGGUGUCACCCCUGCCUAGUAGAUUCCCCAACAGGUUGGGAUGAGCAGGAGUGAUAUUACUGGGAGGUUUCCUCCUUCCAUCGCCAUGGAUCAGGAAAGUGCAGUGUAUUUCAGAGCCUAAAUGCUUGAAUCUACUAUUUAAUAUCCUGUUGUGCUUUUGAGAAAUGCGAAAUCAUACUUCUGUUUUGAUUAUUUUUCUCCAUCUCCAGUGGCUUCUCAGAUCAUGUCCAAUAGAAGAAUUGCCUGUGAGCAUGCAGGUACGGCUCUAGAAAAUGUAUUACCUGGGUUAAAACGUGCUAAUUCAGAAAUGCCUUUCCUACCCUUUAGUCAUCCUUGUUAGGGAAAAAUGCUCCACCUCAAACUCCAGCUAACUGAUUGCCCACCCGUUCUGAGACUGUGCUCUGAAUUAAUCUACUCUAAAAGCCAACAGAGAUGACUUAUGUUUGGGCACCUCGCAGGAAAGUAAGGAGAUGAAAAGCCUCAGGAAAUCUUUGACAAACAUCUCUGAGUGUUUUACCCACUCUGCACAUCUGUUGCUGCAUGAAUAUUGCACAUAACAUGCCAAAGGGAGAGACAAGAGGUGAUCAGCAGGGAGGGCAGCUUUCGUGUUUGUACUGAACGUUUUCUUUUUAAGGAAAGAGAGGAAAUAUGCUGCACUACCUGUAGGAGGUGUGCCUGCUUUUGCUAACAGAUGUUCCUGCUUUGUGGAUGAAUGUCUAACUGGUCAGAUCCUUUCCUGAUGAACGCUGGCAUCUCUGGGAUAUGUCAGCUCCUGGAAAGGGCUUGUCAAAUGACACAACUGAUGAGGACUUCAAGCUCACUGUGCAGUACUGUCCCCAGGAACAGAAGACAAGCCAGCUGCUAUCCCAGUUCCUGAAGGAGAUUAAUACCAAUGGGACUAUUUCCCCAAUACAAGGACAAGCUGCAUGAUGAGAGGGGCAAAAGAAGUUGUAUGCCCAGAGAAUUUGUAUAAGUCUCAAGAUUUUCUGCAGGCAGAAAACUCCCUCUGAACUCAAUAUGUGUUGAGACCCAGCUCAUAGCAUCCCACUUUACAUCACCCCAGUGUCACCAUCACCUCUUGUCUGAGACAUCGAUUUUCACUGUGUCCAUGAUGGGUAACACCAGCAAAUCAUUCCAGGAACCUUCUACCAGAGCAUUGCCACCAGGACGAGUCUGCCAGGGACUGCCCAGAGACACGUGGAAAAUCAAGUGCAUGAGACCAGCAGUGCAAGGGAUCCAGGACCUCUGUUAAUAAACCAGUUUAUCUCUGCAAGAACUUGUCCCACCAAACCAAAGAAACCAUCAUCCUACUCAUGCACUUUUCCCCAACGCACCACAAAAGUGGUUUUUGGCCUUUAAAUCUGAUCUAUCUCCCUUUGAGAUGUCACUGAGAUGAUAGCUGUGAUCUCUAACAAGAUACAAUUAUUACCAAACGUAAAUCUAAUUCAAUAGAAAUUACUUGGAACAAUCAGCAUUGAUAGGCAACUGAGAAAAAUUGCACUGCAACGAUCAGAGUCCUCUGCACAUUUUUCCCAGCAGACAUUCUGUCUGUCUCACUUGUAGGAACUACUCUUGGUCAAAAUGCUGCAGAUGUUUUAAAAAUAAAAUAAAAAAAAAAGAUGGUCUUCAUCGUGCAGCUUUUAGCAGUGUUUAUUUUGCGUGAGCGAAAUUGUCUUCUGUCUUAAGAUGUUUAAUGAUUAUUUGAAAGCGACUUGAUGAAUAGAAGAGCGUGUACUCCCACAUGGGACAAGCGUAUUUUUAGGCUGAUUCAUGAUAAUUAAUCUUUGUCAAAGUGGAAUGCGUUAAUUUCUCCUACUGGUAGGGGCUUUACUGCUGCUUCUUUCCCUCAGGUAGAUGGUUCUGCUCCGGGAGCAUAUUAGCUGAUUUAAGUGGACACAACCAGGUACUCAGUUAUGUCACUGUUAUCUCAAUGAUCUCUUAAGGAACACAGAGUACUUAUUUCUGUGGAUACGGUGCGCUCCAUGUUUCAUCACAGACCUUUGUCACUUUGUUAUUUAUAGAAUUCAGAUUACUGCAAUUUGAAAGUCUCUCCGUCCUUGCUAGUGUGCCGUGACAUAAAAUAAACCCACAUAUUAAGGAAAAAAAAUAAAGAGAACAACAACAACAAAAAAAAGGACAGCAGCAACGUGGAAACGUACAGCUAUAAAGGGCCCUAGGCUGUUCUUCGAACACCACGCCAACCAGCCACUCGCAGCAGCUUGACAGCGCUAUCACCCUGUGAUAAACUUACAGAAUUUGGUUUUUCAGUGAACUCUGGCUUAAGGGAAGAGGGGGAUGGGAAAGCACAAGAACUACCCCAGACUUCCCUUCCAAGCACCAGCCCAGCCAUACACGAGGACUUGCACAGCUGUUCCCGAGCAUGGUAUCAGAGCACCGCACGUAAGGAGCGCUUCUGCAGGACCACACAAGUUUGCUGCUAUUCUUAAGCCGAGCCUCGCAACUGGGAAACUCCUGCCAAGUUGUUUGAGACAGUGGCACCUGGGAAGUAUUAUAUGAGUCUGUAUUGCAUCAUGAGAACCCUAUUUGCACUUAAUUACACAACUCCCUCCCUCCCCCCAGUAGAACAAGCGGGACAGAUGCUGCAACUACAAAGUGAGAAUCAAACACAUUUUUUAAGUGGAAUCUGACAGCCUGAAGCCUAGAGGCAGGCUUCAGACCAGAUCCCAGCAACGAAGAUCCUCACAGUACUGAAUGGCUCAGACCAAUGAGUUUUUUGUGCAGUGAUCCCACUUAUCCCAUUACAGGUCUGACUCAUGCUCCUGCCUCAUUAUACCGAAAUGUAGAUGGAGAGGAUUUGACCACACUUCUCUCCCUUGGUCUUUCUCUGUGAGACCAUUUCACAGCCAGAAGCCUGGAUAUUAUCUUCACAAGGCUCCUGCCUGGUCUUUUACAUGGCGCCGGUCACAGCGUGUUGAGAAGCCUUGCAAGGAUUCACCUGUGGAUUGCACUGGUGCCUCUGGAUUUGGGGCAGCAGGUUAACAGGCAUCAGUUGGGCUAACAGAUGAAGAUGCUCUGACAGGGAUGAGUGACGGAGAGGCAGGAAAGACUCACACUGGCUUUGCCAACACGAGAUGUAUAACAGGAGCACCAGCACAUCAUGUUUGACAGGAGCAGAUCCUCUCAAAACAGAGGCAGCUGGCAGGUGGGCGCAGAUCCUUCACUGGCUAACACCUGCCUGAAGCCCUGUGUUUGUUGCCUGGUUGGGCUGGAAUAGAGCUAUUGCUGUACUGCAGGCCAUCCUGGGCUGUAUUGCAACAAAUGUGCAAACUGCUCUUUUUAAAGCAACUCACUGGAAAUUUGGAUCCCCAUGAGCAUUUCUAACUUGGGCUCAUUACUCAAGCUUUUGCAAUUGCGUGUAACUGGGGGCUUUACCCUUUUAUUCUCCCCUCACAAGUCAAAUUUCCCAUCCUUUGACAUGUAAUCCAAGACUGGAAGUACCUUUUCUGUUUCUAUCACACCACAGUAAUGCAGUCACUGAUGUGCCACAAGCUUCAGCUGCUGUAAAUCUUCUUCCUACUGCCCUUUCCACACCAGCUUUCUAGCAGUGCUUUAUGACUCACGGGUUUGGGCGUUGAUUCAGUAGUUUCUUUAAGGAGGGCCCAGAAGGUAUGAUGCAAAAGUACGUUUAUCAGAUGUGAUAUAGUUGAAUACAGUGAAUGUUGUCCUACACAAACAAAUCCAGCAAGGAAUGUUUUAAUGUACCCAGUUCAAAAAUUUUUCAGAUAAUGAUUUAUGCUGUGAGUGGGAAGUGGGGUUCCCACAAACUUUGUGUUGACUAUUAAUCUGCAUGGAAACCACUUGCACAAAGUUUAAGUCAAUGCAGAUCACAAACUGUUUCUGUGCAGCAUCUCUUACACUGAUGACUUUUAAAAUGAAUUGGGAGAUCUUCCAUGGUUUCACUUUAAACCUUGUCUGAUGCAGUUUGUCAUUUCUUUAGGCAUCAUCUACAUUUUAAAACAGGAGAAGGAAAUAUAUGUGGGCAAAGGCGUGCUGUGAUGCUCUUCCAGACUUCCAGCAUCUUCCCAGAUGGUGGUAAAUUCACUCUAUGGAUGAAUCAUUGAAGCGUUUUCACACACUUUCAUUUUAAUAUGCAUUAAAUGAGAAAAUGUUUGGGCACACACAAAAAAAAUAGUUCAGCUUUCAUGUUUCCUCCAGUGUGUGCUGUAAGCAUGUCCUUCUAACUACAUACCAAGGCUAGCUGGUGUUUUGCCUAUUUGGCACAUUCAGAAAACAUGCAUGCCUAGCUUUGCAGCUCAAAUGUGACUCGUUAUUGCAAUUAAAUGGUUUAUACACUGAGAAACACCGUGUCUUUGUAUAAGACCAUGUUUGCAAUGCAAUGCAUACUGGAUACUGGUAGGUGAAACUGUAUUUCUUGUAUUAGGAUUGUAAUUGAUUUCUUCUCUAUAAAGAAGUUUCCAAUCAGAUCUUCACAAGGGGUUUUCCCCCCAGGUUUUCAGGAGCUGUGCCCCAUGGUCAGGUUCCUCCACACGGCAACAGUUCAGCUUUCCUCUGGUGCUGGAGAAAGCACCACAAGAUGAGCUCAGGGCUAUCACUGCUUUUUGGCUCUCUCAAAUACGGUAGAAAGUUUGCAUGAUUAAAUUCUUUUCAGAAUUGGGAAACUGAUAUUCAUUCACAUUCGAGGCUUUUCUGCUCAUGUGUCAUCUGGCUAUUUCAUUAUUCAAGGAGCUCUGCUGGCCAAGGAAUGUAAAGUGGAAUUGCUGUAAAAUAGCUGUGGUGUGAGAUGGUACCCAUCAUUGUUGUUGUUUCCCUCACAGCUUUUUGGACCUGAAUUAAUUCUGGUUUUCGCAUCAAUAACCGGGCAGAGUUCAGCAGCGCAAAAUUUCAUACCUUGUUUUAUGGAUGUUUUUCCUCAUGAGGGGCAGGACCUGUCACCCCCCACAGGGAGUCCAAUCCAGUUGCUGCACGGGCAGGCAGAAAGGAGACGGCGUUAGAGUCUUGGACAGAAAAAAAAAUAAAAAUUGAAACUUCUUGGAAAGUUGGGAUCCUGGAAACUGCUUGGAUCCUGCUGGAACUGGAAGCGCCUGUCUCUGCAGCACUCUGUUGGACGUCACUUCUAGUUACACAUGUGCCUAAGUAUUUUGUGGGGCCGGGCCCUCGGAGCCUGCAGAAACACCCACGCGCUUCCAGACGCUAUGCAGGGACACAAACACUUCCAGUUUUUCCUCUGGAGAAACCCGACUUGUCCUCGCCUGCUGAGCAGAGACACCGUGAUGCACCCUGCAUGGAUCUCCUUGCUGGGUAGGGGCAGGUGGAUGUGUGGAUGGAUGGACAGAUGGACGGACGGGUGGACAGACCACCGCGCACCCCUCAGGCAGCAGCCGAAGGUGGCGGAUUUUUCCUCUGGCUGCUGACAGCUUUCCCGGGGCAGCCGGAGGAUGCCUGGGCUCUGGGUUUGUUAGUGUUAUUCCAGCCAAGCUCUGCAGCCAGAUCAUCUCACAUCAGCUGCGUAUUAUCCGGAGCCACGCAAGGAGCUGUUUUUAGAGGAAAUGCUCAUUUUAUAGGGUCUCCUCUGGUCUAGGAAAAAAUAUAUUAGAUGUGUGUGCUGCUCCAGGAGCAGACAAAGAAUAUUAACUGUGACUGUUACUCACGGUGCAGGUAUGAGGGAGGAUGAAAACUGCUCCUAACCUUUUUGGCCAGUGCUUGACUCCUGCCUGGAUCCUCUGAUUGAAAAACAGAAUGGGCUAGAUCAGGGUUUUCCUCACUCAUGCUCUUUCCAUGUCGCUGAGUACAAGGCUGGAGCUGGACUUUGUGCUGCCCUUUGUGGCUCAGUGACCUGGGAUGCUCUGCCUGGCCAGCACAGCAAGAAGCAUUCCAUGGCAUAGGGCUGCUUGAUGGAAACCCCAGAUCGACUCCGGUUUCUGCCUGCCUGCUGCCCAGUGUAAUCUGUAGGCUGGCAAAUCCAGCCUUGAGAAGGAUUUUGUUUUAGGUUUGAGUAUAUCAGGUAUUUGAGAAAACCUGUUUCCUUUUUUUUAUUUUUAAUAAAAAGAAGGAAAUCCACCAUGAAAGUAUGCACACUGAAGGAUCCAAAAAACAUGGAAAAAAUGAUCAGAUCAUCAUUUCAGGGAGGACUCAGUUAAACCAUUGUUAGUAUCUCUUUCACUUUCUGAGUGAUUUUAAACCGUAUAGUUAUGCUAAAAAAUUUGAGUAAGGAAAUCUUUCCUGGAUGGCUUCCUAUUUAUUCCUUCAUUUUCAUGAUCAGUAUUGCUGUGCCCUGCCAAUCUUCAGGGCAGUUUUGUGACCAGUGCUAGUCCCUUCCAACUGGGUAAGCUAAUGCUUUCUCAUAACAAUACAAAACAAAUAUAAAUAGAUUCAGGGACAAUUUGUCCAACAAGGAUCUAUGGUGCAGAGUGGAUUCUGGAGUCAUCUUCAAAGUGUCUCUAAAAUGACCUAUGAAUGUCUGCCUAGUUUGUUAAGAGUCCAGAGGGAUUUUCAAUACGAUGGACUUGGGUUAUUAAAUUACUGCUGGAAAUGUGGAGUUGACCUCCAGUGGAAAAUAUUUCUGCGAAAAAUGUCAGCGAACUUUUUAGUGAACUUUCCUCCACUGUUUCUUUUCUUGAAUCAAAAAUAAACAAUAGAUUUAUAUUAGGUGAGGCAAGAAAAGAGAAUGAAUCUAUUUUGUUGUAUUUUCUGAUAAGCAACACAGUCUAACAGCUAGCAAAUGUUGGCCACGUCUACUUCUAGCAGAUACUCAAAGUGAAAGGUGCCUUUGAACUCAUACUUGUAAUGGGAUGAAAUCACCAUCCCCUUUCUGCUGAUUUUGAUUAGAGCCAUUGAGAAAUGUCCCCCUGCACUGAAUUUUCUUUGCGUGAGGCUGACUGAUGGAAAUGUGCCAGGCUCAAUGAUGGGAUGGUGAGAAGUGCUUGGUUGGGAUGGUCUUUGGGCUCAGAAAGAGAUACGAUGCUUUCCUGAAAUGCAAGAGGCCUUGUUGUGCUUAGUUUGGAGACCUGCAUGGGGGUUUCCAUCUCCCCGGUGUUGUCCUGACUACCAGAUUAUGCUGGCAGGCGCUCUAAUCCAGUGAAUGCUUCACUGUUCAGACAAAUUAAGCAGUUCCAGCAGGAUGGAGCAAAAAAAAAGCCUGUAAUGAGCAGAAAUAGGAGCUGAACCUGAGCCUCUUGCACUGAGAUGAGUACUUGCGUGCAUAUUUUUCAAAUGAAAGAGGAGAGUUUGCUUUUGACCAUCAGUAAGCCCAGCCCACGGUAUUCAGAUGAUGGAUUUGCCAAUGCUUUCAGACUUUUUUGGGAGGUUUUUAGUUCAUCCCUUUAGUAAUGGCUUCAAGUUUUAAGGCAUUUCCCUUUGUAGUCUCCAAAUGACCUAUUAAAUUUCCAGACUCAGGGCACUAGAAUAAGACCUCUACAAACUCACUGCCCUAGUGCUCAUGACGUUUGUUUGACAUUAAGACUGCCACCAGACCCCGACUGG